rnacentral:rRNA from 1 species
CCUACGGGGGGCAGCAGUGGGGAAUAUUGGACAAUGGGGGCAACCCUGAUCCAGCCAUGCCGCGUGUGUGAAGAAGGCCCUCGGGUUGUAAAGCACUUUCAGUGAGGAAGAACGCCUGGUGGUUAAUACCCAUCAGGAAAGACAUCACUCACAGAAGAAGCCCCGGCUAACUCCGUGCCAGCAGCCGCGGUAAUACGGAGGGUGCGAGCGUUAAUCGGAAUUACUGGGCGUAAAGCGCGCGUAGGUGGCUUGAUAAGCCGGUUGUGAAAGCCCCGGGCUCAACCUGGGAACGGCAUCCGGAACUGUCAAGCUAGAGUGCAGGAGAGGAAGGUAGAAUUCCCGGUGUAGCGGUGAAAUGCGUAGAGAUCGGGAGGAAUACCAGUGGCGAAGGCGGCCUUCUGGACUGACACUGACACUGAGGUGCGAAAGCGUGGGUAGCAAACAGGAUUAGAUACCCUGGUAGUC